rnacentral:sRNA from 1 species
AGAUUUCAAGGGACCAAUCACUGGGCGAGAAGGAGGCGGGACUUCCUGGUUGGGGAGAGAAAGAGGAAAGGCCGGGGAAGAUUUACAAAAUUAGGUUGCUAGUUUCUGGGCCCAGCGAUUGUGUUACCUGUUGAUUUUAAAAUAAGUUUUGUGUGGUGUUUUCCUUCACUCAACUGAGUUCCAGAGAAAGGUAUGGCGGCAGAGCAUGGGUCUGCGAGAAGUACACCCCAGCUAGCCGUGGAAAUUUGGGAGUGUUGGUCGGGUUUGGUGGCAGCCAGCCAUGGGGAGGAGAGAGCGCUUUCAGGGCUCUGAGUAGGAGAGUCUGUGCGACCAUGGAGUGCUUUUUUAUAUUUCAUGCAACAUACUACUAUGCUUGGGAGUAGUAUAUAGUUUAUUCUUUUUGUACCUAUAGUCCCAGAUACCCACGGAGGAAAUAUCCCAUGAUUCUAUGAAAAGAUGUCCUUUAGUGUGUAUGACCUCAGAAUGUCAGAAAGCUGUGUGUGCGCGCCGGGGUGGGAGGGUGUAGGGUGGUGAGGGACAGAUUUAUAAUGACAGUCCUUAAGAAGAGGGGGAAGUAAGAGAAUUGCCCUAUAAAAACUUGCUGUUUGCCACGAGCAAGUUGAAAGAGAGGCUUGGAGCAGAGAGGGCUGGGAAAACCUUGUCAUUGUCUUUGGAUUCACAUUUGGCUACCACCGCCCUGGCCUCUCUCCAAUCCCCCAGAGCUCUUGGCUGAGAAGAUGGAAAACCAAAGAAAAGAGCACAGGCCUUGGGCAGCUGCUCAUGCUGCGCUGCAGAGAACGCCUCACUCUUUAGAGUCCAACUGUUCCAGUUUCCCCUGCUCGCCCCUGGCAUUCCAGCGCGAUGAAGAAACUGGGCUCUUUAGAUUUAACGACCAUGUCUACCAGAGUCUCUCAAGACCCUAGCUUGGCUCUGCUAAAGGCAAGAGACAGACAAGGUGAGGUAUUAAUUAACAAGUAAGGUAAAUGUCCAAAUCGCGUCCUUGAAUCAAAUCAAACUCACUUGGAUGGUGAAGGGAUGGGAAGGCGGGUGAAGAAGUUGUGGGCAUGGAGCAGAUUUCAUCUGUUUCAAGUGCUCUGGACACAGUCCAGCAUUAUGUCUCCUCAUUCAGACCUGGCUAGAGUGCCUUGGAUGGCGUGCCCAGAGCUCAGGCCAGUAUCCACAUCUCUUAACCCAAGGCUGUCUCCUCUGGAGCAAGACAAGGAGCCCAAUAGGAAACACCAUUCUGAAGGAAAACUGAAAUGGUGUUUAAUUUAUAUUUAGAAAUGAAGACAUUUCUGGUGGAUUGAAGAGCCCUACCUUCAUUCCUUGCUGUGGCUUUGAGGAUACCCCCCCCCCCCCCGGGACAGGAUGAAAACCUGGCUCAACUUUGAGAUGCACUUCCUCUCAUCCUGUUAAUGUCAGGUUCCUUGGAAGUCCUUUUUCUUUGCUCCUACCAAGGUACUCUUCCUUUGCUCAUGCACUGAUAAUCAAAAUACUAUCAACCCCUGUAUAUCCUAUCUCUUCGGCUGCACAACAAGCUCUUUGGAACAUAUGCCAUGAUUGUUCCAACAUUUCCCAAAAGCCAGCUUGUGUUGAACACUUGGUAGACUCUCAAAAAUGUUUGUUAAACCAUGAAUGAAUAAGUUAGCAGAGGCCGGACGGCUGGAGAGAUGGAUGAGUAGAGGGGUAGGUGGAUGGAUAAAUUCUAAGGCAUAUGCAUGGAAGGAUAGAUGGACGGAUGGAUGGAUGGAAUCACUCUUUUGUGACAUAGAGAUAAAGGGUUUUUAAACUCUGAAACAAACAUCACUCACCUCAACUAGCAAUGGAGAAUAUUUUUAAAACAUAGUUGAUAGAAGUGGGUGUAGGGUGUAUGUUUGGAGCCCAGGAAGGGGACAGGGAGGAAGAUGGCUAAAGUGUAUGCGACACACAUAUGGGAAAUGUUAAAAUGAAUCUGCUGUAGCAAAAACAAGAUGAGAAGAGGUUACCACCUUCCAGCUACUUAACUCAUUUUUAUCCUUUUCUUCUAAUCAUUUGUUCCUUAGAUGCUGUUCCUUUCUCCUCGUGUAACUCCUCACGUGUUCUGGGAAUUGAAAUGUCUGGAAAUGGGGAAGGACUGCCUUUUCCAGUUCCCUUUGGAAGAAUGCUCUAUUAUCUUCCCGGUUCGGGAGAUUUAUGACAAGUGUGUUCUUCGCAGCUGCUCCCUGGGCCGGCAUUCAUGUUCUGCUUGGAUGCCUCUCUGACCCAAUGCCAGCUUUCUAAAGCAUACAGCCCUUUCAGAGGAUUCCCAACCCUGGAUGGGACCAGGUACUCCAGAGGUAGGGUAUCCAGGGGCAACCACCCCCCAAAAGACAUGCAGAGUGAUAACGGUGAGCUUGUUGCCCCUGGGCCUGGGGUUGAUGAGAGGAACUUUAAUAUUUAUCAAUAAACAACAAAGUGCUUAGCACAUCUCCUAGGGAAGUAAUUAACCACAGAAAGACUACCCUGUGCCGAGGCGUCUCCUCCAAAAAAAGAACUCACUUAAUUGUGAAUUGCUUACACCAGGUGAGAGAGAAGCGGUGUCUACCCCGCUCACCUGACAUAAGCAACUCUGAAGUAACUGGGAGUUGCUUUUUAUAAAUACGGUGCAGAGACUUUCUUCUUGGUGGCUAAUUACUUCCUUGGGAGGUUGCUUUAAUAGUUCCCAUAAGAAGGCCAUUAUUAUCUUUAGCGUGAUCACAGUCUCAUUGCUUUUGUCCUAGCCUUUCCAGUGCUGGGGCUCUGCCUCUACAAGGGAUCCUGAGUUGAGCCUAUGAGGCGAGCCCUCCAGCUUGGAGAUCAGGUGCCUCAGGUUGGGUGGGAGCCAGGAUCCAGGUGAGGCUGACAGAGAGGGAGGUAGAUGGCACAGGGAUUGUUGGGGACACCGGCUGCCUGGAAUCUCUCUUUUGCAUACCAUACUCCAGCAAUUUGCUAUGCUUUUAGUUGCUGACACCCCAAACAGGGAAGGGGUCAGAGAAGUGGCUCCUUAUAGGAGGCAGAAGGAGCUGAUCUAUAAGCAACCACAGCACUCAGUGAAAUCACCGGGGACGCAGAAGCAAAGAGCCAUUGGACUGUGACUCUGAAAAAUACCGCAUGCCUUUAUGCCUCACCUUGCUAAAAAAAUGAAAGAGAGCGCCUUCUAUUCUGGCUUUGUUUCAGAUGGGUGAAAUGAGUGAAGGACAGUACCACAGCACAUCCGGCCUAUGAAAUUCUAUGGUCACAAACUUGUAUCAGUGUAAAUACACCUGGCCUGCUUGUUCUCAAAUUAUAUACAUACACAAAGGCAAUUGUUAUGCAAUUUGCAAGAUGUCCAUUAAGAGGAUGAAGCAGAAGGAAAAAUAGAAUGUCUAAUAUUCCCAUUUGUUUCUCACCAGCUUGCAUCUUACUUUGAACAGCUGAAGCUGACUUCAGGAGCCAUGAAGCAGAGGUGACUUUGAUGCUGGGUGGGGAUACACCCAUAUUCUAUGGCUGUCACAGUGAAGGCAUCCUUGUAGAUCCUUUAACCCCUGAGACAACUUCAACUUCACAUAAACUCUGACCUGCGAGUCAUUUCGGUGAGGGUUAGCCACAAGUCUACACUGAUAUUAUGGACAGUAUUUGAACUUAGAAGAGCACAUGAUUGAACCACAUGCUAAUGUAACCCUACUUCUCUUUGGAGGCCUAUCAUCACACAGGAAUAUGUUCCGGGACAAUUGGCACAGACGUUCAGAACGGUGGUGGUUCUUCAGCCACACCACUUGCACAUGUGGGAUCUUAGACACUAAGUAGGGUCUUAGCUAGGUCACAGCUUGGGUGGCAGAAGAGAGGUUUGCAAACCUAUCCUGAAAAGUGUCCAGAGCAAUUGUUGAGGCCUGAUAGCUGUGUCAUCUCUCACUGUGUUAGCCUACUUAAUUCUGUGGUUAGGGUUAAAGAUAAGGAACACUUGUACAGAAAAUAUAAACAAGAACAGAUGAGAUGGCUCAGUGGUAAUGGCAGAUGGCCUGAAUUUGAUCUUGGGAUCCAAAGGUGAAGGAGAAGACUGAUUCCUACAAGUUGUCUACUGAUUUCCACAUGUAUGUUGUGGCACGCAUGUUCUCCUUCUUCUACACACACACACACACACACACACACACACACACACACACACACACACUGUGAAAUGACAUAUUAAAAAGUGAACACUCCCAUUUUCCAAUACAGAGAAAGGUAUGGAUUAAAGGAAUUAGAGCUUCAUCAUGCAAGGUAAAUUCAUUUUUUGAGGUCUGAUAAGCCAUAAGCAUUGUGUCAAUAGCGAAAAGUACUGUGCUAUGUUCUUAAAAUUUGCUAUGAGGGUAGAUGGCAACCACACCAGUGAGAAAUAAGAAUAUAUAUGGUGCUAAUGGCACUGUAAGCGCUAAUGAUGAGGCUUAUGGUCUUGGUCACAGUGAUGCUUUCAUGAAUAUAUGUAUAUACAUAUAUACUCAAACUCAUCAACAUGUACAUAUCUGAUAUGUACAGCCUUUUAGGUAUCAAUUAUACACCAAUAAAGUAGUUAGAAAAAAACAGCGAAUACACUGAAAUUUAAAUUUCAUGAACCUUUCCAUACAAUGAAACCUUCUUUAGAUUAUUUUCCAUCAGGCAUCAGGAAAAUGUUAAAAACAUUUUCUUUUCCCUCACUAAUUGGACUUGGCUCACAGGCUGUAGCUGGGUGACCAAAACAUCCUUUGGUUCCAGAGCUGGGUUUGUAAUGGAACCACUUGCUCUUCAGGUCUUGGUUGCCUCGUCAGCAAAGUGACAUUUCCGAGGGCCGUAAAGAAGAGGGGGCACAUGGCUCAUGACCAUUCCAGUGCAGGUUAAGUCACCACCAUUGUCAUUGACCAUGACUGGCCACCCUGAAAGGUCUGACAGGACCAUUCAUCCUGAAGGCAUUAGCCAGAGCCUCUCUGCAAUGAUGGGUGCUGGAGAAUCCAAAGCCAGCACCAAACCUCAGUGACUAUUCAGCCUGUGUCUGAAGUGUCCUGGCCCAAGGAUGUGUGUUCUUCACCAUAUUCACUUUAAAGGAAACAUUACAACACUGGACAAUAGUGUCGAGGAGAUCUUUCAGGAGAGAGUAAGUCAUGACGCAAGCACAUACAACACUGUUCUUGAGGGGAUGGGAAUUAGAAGACACU